UACGGAGGGGGCUAGCGUUGUUCGGAAUUACUGGGCGUAAAGCGCACGUAGGCGGCUUUGUAAGUUAGAGGUGAAAGCCCGGGGCUCAACCCCGGAAAUGCCUUUAAGACUGCAUCGCUUGAAUCCAGGAGAGGUGAGUGGAAUUCCGAGUGUAGAGGUGAAAUUCGUAGAUAUCGUAAGGAAGACCAGUGGCGAAGGCGGCUCACUGGACCGUUGUUGACGCUGAGGUGCGAAAGCGUGGGGAGCAAACAGG
rnacentral:rRNA from 1 species